rnacentral:rRNA from 1 species
AUGAACGCUAGCUACAGGCUUAACACAUGCAAGUCGAGGGGCAGCAUGAACUUAGCUUGCUAAGUUUGAUGGCGACCGGCGCACGGGUGAGUAACACGUAUCCAACCUGCCGAUGACUCGGGGAUAGCCUUUCGAAAGAAAGAUUAAUACCCGAUGGCAUAGUUCUUCCGCAUGGUAGAACUAUUAAAGAAUUUCGGUCAUCGAUGGGGAUGCGUUCCAUUAGGUUGUUGGCGGGGUAACGGCCCACCAAGCCUUCGAUGGAUAGGGGUUCUGAGAGGAAGGUCCCCCACAUUGGAACUGAGACACGGUCCAAACUCCUACGGGAGGCAGCAGUGAGGAAUAUUGGUCAAUGGACGAGAGUCUGAACCAGCCAAGUAGCGUGAAGGAUGACUGCCCUAUGGGUUGUAAACUUCUUUUAUACGGGAAUAAAGUGAGGCACGUGUGCCUUUUUGUAUGUACCGUAUGAAUAAGGAUCGGCUAACUCCGUGCCAGCAGCCGCGGUAAUACGGAGGAUCCGAGCGUUAUCCGGAUUUAUUGGGUUUAAAGGGAGCGUAGGCGGACGCUUAAGUCAGUUGUGAAAGUUUGCGGCUCAACCGUAAAAUUGCAGUUGAUACUGGGUGUCUUGAGUACAGUAGAGGCAGGCGGAAUUCGUGGUGUAGCGGUGAAAUGCUUAGAUAUCACGAAGAACUCCGAUUGCGAAGGCAGCUUGCUGGACUGUAACUGACGCUGAUGCUCGAAAGUGUGGGUAUCAAACAGGAUUAGAUACCCUGGUAGUCCACGCCGUAAACGAUGAGUGCUAGGUGUUAGGCCCUUUCCGGGGCUUAGUGCCGCAGCUAACGCAUUAAGCACUCCGCCUGGGGAGUACGACCGCAAGGUUGAAACUCAAAGGAAUUGACGGGGGCCCGCACAAGCGGAGGAACAUGUGGUUUAAUUCGAUGAUACGCGAGGAACCUUACCCGGGCUUGAAUUGCAACUGAAUGAUGUGGAGACAUGUCAGCCGCAAGGCAGUUGUGAAGGUGCUGCAUGGUUGUCGUCAGCUCGUGCCGUGAGGUGUCGGCUUAAGUGCCAUAACGAGCGCAACCCUUAUCGAUAGUUACCAUCAGGUUAUGCUGGGGACUCUGUCGAGACUGCCGUCGUAAGAUGUGAGGAAGGUGGGGAUGACGUCAAAUCAGCACGGCCCUUACGUCCGGGGCUACACACGUGUUACAAUGGGGGGUACAGAAGGCAGCUACACGGCGACGUGAUGCUAAUCCCGAAAGCCUCUCUCAGUUCGGAUUGGAGUCUGCAACCCGACUCCAUGAAGCUGGAUUCGCUAGUAAUCGCGCAUCAGCCACGGCGCGGUGAAUACGUUCCCGGGCCUUGUACACACCGCCCGUCAAGCCAUGAAAGCCGGGGGUACCUGAAGUGCGUAACCGCAAGGAGCGCCCUAGGGUAAAACUGGUGAUUGGGGCU